rnacentral:rRNA from 1 species
UACGGGGGGAGCAAGCGUUGUUCGGAUUUACUGGGCGUAAAGGGCGCGUAGGCGGCCACGACAAGUCACUUGUGAAAUCUCCGGGCUUAACUCGGAAAGGUCAAGUGAUACUGUCGGGCUAGAGUACAGAAGGGGCAACUGGAAUUCUCGGUGUAGCGGUGAAAUGCGUAGGUAUCGAGAGGAACACCUGCGGCGAAGGCGGGUUGCUGGGCUGAUACUGACGCUGAUGCGCGAAAGCCAGGGGAGCGAACGGG